GCUUGAGAAGAUUGAAGUAUUUUGAAGAUGGAGAUGUUUCUAAUGCAGAUAAUAACUAGAAUCAUCUGGGUAUAGAUCUCUAUCACAGAAAAAACAAGCCUGUACCCUCCAAGCUGCACUAUUACAACUGGGAGACAAGCCUUAACCAGAAGUCCCUGAAGAAAUUCUACAAAAGGUUGUUGAUUAAUCAAAGCUGGAGUUAUUUUACAGCGAUAGCACUGUGCAUGUGCAAGACAGGAGCCUGUGUCUCCAGGAUGACCUUGGAACCAAGAAUCUUCAGUCUACAGAACUCAAAGAAUAGAAAUCUUGCCACCAGAGCCCUUUACAAAUGCUGGUACCCCUGGAACAUCUUAUACCAAACUCUGUCUCAACAUCUGCUUCCAAAGAACCCAACCUUAGAGAUUAUUUAAUCUGAACUCUAUCUUUUUUAGA